rnacentral:rRNA from 1 species
GGACUGAGACACGGCCCAGACUCCUACGGGAGGCAGCAGUGGGGAAUAUUGCACAAUGGGCGAAAGCCUGAUGCAGCGACGCCGCGUGAGGGAUGACGGCCUUCGGGUUGUAAACCUCUUUCAGUAGGGAAGAAGCGAAAGUGACGGUACCUGCAGAAGAAGCACCGGCUAACUACGUGCCAGCAGCCGCGGUAAUACGUAGGGUGCGAGCGUUA